rnacentral:rRNA from 1 species
AGCGUUAGCUUAAAACCCAAAAGACUUGGCGGUGCCCUAUACCUCCUAGAGGAGCCUGUUCUAUAAUCGACAAUCCCCGAUUCACCUCACCACCUCUUGCCAAUUCCGCCUGUAUACCUCCGUCCUAAAUUGACCCCUCAAGGGCAAUAGUCAGUUUAAUGAUUUACCAUCAAUAAGGCAGGUCAAGGUGCAGCGAAUGAGAUGGGAAGCAAUGGGCUACAUUUUCUACCUAUAGACUAUACGGAUAAAUCGUGAUGAAACCUGAUUAGAAGGCGGAUUUAGCAGUAAAAGGAGAUUAGAGUGCUCCUUUUAAGUAGGCUCUAGAGCGCGCACACACCGCCCGUCACCCU